rnacentral:rRNA from 1 species
UGGGGAAUUUUGGACAAUGGGCGCAAGCCUGAUCCAGCCAUGCCGCGUGCGGGGAGAAGGCCUUCGGGUUGUAAACCGCUUUUGUCAGGGAAGAAAUCUUCUGAGUUAAUACCUCGGGAGGAUGACGGUACCUGAAGAAUAAGCACCGGCUAACUACGUGCCAGCAGCCGCGGUAAUACGUAGGGUGCAAGCGUUAAUCGGAAUUACUGGGCGUAAAGCGUGCGCAGGCGGUUUUGUAAGACAGAGGUGAAAUCCCCGGGCUCAACCUGGGAACUGCCUUUGUGACUGCAAGGCUUGAGUGCGGCAGAGGGGGAUGGAAUUCCGCGUGUAGCAGUGAAAUGCGUAGAUAUGCGGAGGAACACCGAUGGCGAAGGCAAUCCCCUGGGCCUGCACUGACGCUCAUGCACGAAAGCGUGGGGAGCAAACAGGAUUAGAUACCCUGGUAGUCCACGCCCUAAACGAUGUCAACUGGUUGUUGGGAAGGUUCCUUCUCAGUAACGUAGCUAACGCGUGAAGUUGACCGCCUGGGGAGUACGGCCGCAAGGUUGAAAC